GACGAAGGUGGCGACCGUUGUUCGGAAUCACUGGGCAUAAAGAGCUCGUAGGCGGUGAGAAAAGUAGGGUGUGAAAUCCCUCGGCCCAACCGAGGAACUGCGCUCUAAACUGUCUUGCUUGAGGACCGAAGGGGACCACGGAAUUCCUGGUGGAGCGGUGAAAUGCGUAGAUAUCGAGAGGAACACCUGCGGCGAAGGCGGGUUGCUGGGCUGACACUGACGCUGAUGCGCGAAAGCCAGGGGAGCGAACGGG
rnacentral:rRNA from 1 species